GAGUUUGAUCGUGGCUCAGAUUGAACGCUGGCGGCAUGCCUUACACAUGCAAGUCGAACGGCAGCAUGAUCUAGCUUGCUAGAUUGAUGGCGAGUGGCGAACGGGUGAGUAAUACAUCGGAACGUGCCCUGUAGUGGGGGAUAACUAGUCGAAAGAUUAGCUAAUACCGCAUACGACCUGAGGGUGAAAGUGGGGGACCGCAAGGCCUCAUGCUAUAGGAGCGGCCGAUGUCUGAUUAGCUAGUUGGUGGGGUAAAGGCCCACCAAGGCGACGAUCAGUAGCUGGUCUGAGAGGACGAUCAGCCACACUGGGACUGAGACACGGCCCAGACUCCUACGGGAGGCAGCAGUGGGGAAUUUUGGACAAUGGGCGAAAGCCUGAUCCAGCAAUGCCGCGAGUGUGAAGAAGGCCUCGG
rnacentral:rRNA from 1 species